rnacentral:rRNA from 1 species
AUUGAACGCUAGCGGCAGGCCUAACACAUGCAAGUCGAACGAGCGGCGGACGGGUGAGUAAUGUAUGGGAAACUGCCUGAUGGAGGGGGAUAACUACUGGAAACGGUAGCUAAUACCGCAUACCAUCAGAUGGGCCCAGAUGGGAUUAGCUAGUAGGUGGGGUAACGGCUCACCUAGGCUACGAUCCCUAGCUGGUCUGAGAGGACGACCAGCCACACUGGAACUGAGACACGGCCCAGACUCCUACGGUAGGCAGCAGUGGGGAAUAUUGCACAAUGGGGGCAACCCUGAUGCAGCCAUGCCGCGUGUAUGAAGAAGGCCUUCGGGUUGUAAAGUACUUUCAGCGGGGAGGCGUUACCCGCAGAAGAAGCACCGGCUAACUACGUGCCAGCAGCCGCGGUAAUUC